ensembl:rRNA Gm23289 predicted gene, 23289
CCUCAUGGACCUACUACCUUGAAUAUGAUAGUCUUCUCUGAUCUUGGAAGCUAAGCAGGGUUGGGCCUGGUUAGUAUUUGCAUGGCAGAAUAGUCAGGGUUGUAAAGA